rnacentral:rRNA from 1 species
CACGUAGGGUGCGAGCGUUGUCCGGAAUUAUUGGGCGUAAAGAGCUCGUAGGCGGUGUGUCGCGUCGGCCGUGAAAACCUGCAGCUUAACUGUGGGCGUGCGGUCGAUACGGGCAUCACUGGAGUUCGGCAGGGGAGACUGGAAUCCUGGUGUAGCGGUGAAAUGCGCAGAUAUCAGGAGGAACACCGGUGGCGAAGGCGGGUCUCUGGGCCGAUACUGACGUGGAGGCACGAAAGCGUGGGGAGCAAACAGG